rnacentral:lncRNA from 1 species
CUGGCUCUGAUAUCAACCUCGAGAUAUCAGAUUACAAGACUGAAAUGGGAGCCUCUAAGUUCCUUAAACAAGCGGCCUUCAAAAUGCAGAGUGUGCACUCUAGGGGCACUAGCUCCUCUCCUCUACUAAGCCAAAAUCUCAAAGGCUAGCAUACAUUGGAGCAUCUUCCCUUGAUGGAACAGCCCUCUCAGGGAGCCACAUAGAAAACAGAUGCUCUCUGGAACCAGACUGAAAUUGAAAUGCAAGAUAUAUAUAUAUAUAUAUAUAUCACAGAAUCUCUGUCACUAAAUAUUCUCCCAGAGGCAAAGGAGCUGGGAUAUUUACACCCUGACUCUCAUCAUUAAGUGGAUGGCUCUUGGAGGGUAUUUGAACUCUCUCACACAUCUGGACUGCCAAGAACACAGACAUGAUGCUUGGAGCUAUAGCAGCCAUCUCGCAAUCAUGAGGAAAGGCCAAGAGAAUUUCUGAGUCACCAAACCCAGCACUGUUCAGCUGCUGAGCCAAUCCCUACAGCCUCCUAUCUCUAGACCUUGUGCUCUGUGAGAAAACUAAAACCCCAUUUUGUUUAAUGCCCUCCUGCUCCGAGAGUUCAGGUUUUCUAUUCCUUACAGUGGAAUGCAUUUCAAACUGAUAUAACUGAUCCCUCAGCCAAAUACUAUUCCCAGCAGAUGGUUAGGGUUGGCUGUGUACAGCUAUGCAAACUGCACACUCCGGGAGACACCAUUCAGAAUGCCUUUGGACUUGUGUAGUGCAAAACCUGCAUUAAGAUGCAAGGUAGCCAUGGAGGUAGUGUGAUCUUUAAAGCCAGACCUUGGUAAAACUCAGUUCCAUUACUUACUUGCCUAAUUGGUCCUGGACCAGUUAGUAACCUCUCUGAGCCUCGGUUUCCUCCCUUUAAAGAGGAAUGAUAAUGCCUCUUUGGGAGGAUUCUUGUAAAGACUAAAGAUAUGUGUAAAACACCUGGCACAGAGCAGAUACUCUAUAAAUAGCAUCUAAAUACUAUAACAGAAAACCCAUAUGAUCUGUGCUGGCGGCUGUUUGGAGCACCCUGCAUUGAACGGCUGCAGUGAUUACAAGGGUCUCCUCCUCCCACAGCUGCAGUGUGGCAGGCCCAGUCUACUGCAGGGAACAUCUGUGAAAGGGUGCAGGCAGGGCAACGAACAGGCACAGGGAGGAGAGGGGUACAUCAGGGAAGCACGCUGAGAGGCCACCCUCCUUCAUUUGAUUCUCUGCACUUGUGCACCUGCUGCAUGCUACCAUUUAUGGGACCGGCAGCUUCAUCAAGGGGCCCCCCCGCACCCCACCAUGAUGAAGCUUUAAAUACAAGUAUUACCAGACCAAGGAGCUCUAACAGAUGCCAUGGAAACAGGCCAUUCUUUUUGUUUCAAGUGCUGUGUUUACGGGAGGAAGAUCUGACACGGCAGCUUUGGCCAGCCUAGGUGCAGCCAUCAACAUCAAGACUGCUGGGGAAGGGGGCAGGUUCCAGAGACAAUCCAUCCCGCUUACUCUAGUCUUCAAGGCUGAAAAAGAAUUUGGCUUCUGCACCUCAGUUGAAGCACCAGGACUUGAGUGAUGAUUUGGGUGUCAUCCAGAAAGACAUUCUCUGGUCCAGAUCCCUUCAUUCUUUGUAGGAACAUUUAUUGAGCUCCUACUGUUCUAGGACCUGCAG